ensembl:lncRNA
CCUAUUCCCUAUAUAGUGGCACCCUAUGCCCUAUAUAGUGGCACCCUGUUCCUUAUUUUCCCACAUUCUCUAUUCCCCUAUAAUGCCAAUAGGGUCCCAUUUGGGACGCACAGUUUGACUGGUUAAAUAUGGACGGUUUCCUUUAGUUGGUAAUUUAGGCGUCAGGGAUGCCCAUUUUCACCUUCUAACUCUGUUCUUCAAAGGGGUGAGUGUUGUGGAUGUUUAUUUAUAUAUAUAUAUAUAUAUAUAUAUGCCAUUUCUGCUGGUUAUAUGUUUUUCUUUACAGAUGCUAUUGUUGUUAAUGAAUCCAAUGCUAUAAGCUUUUUCACACUGCAGUGAUCUUAGCCCCAGGCUAAGACUGACCCUGGACCAGUUUAUCCUGUCUUCACGGUUCACACAAGCUUUUAGUGAUGACUUGUUUAAACCUCGCUGUCCGCCUGCCUGGGGGGGAAUAAACUGUUUCUCUUUUGAAAUGCGAUCUCGCGCCCUGUACAGAGAAUUCUGUGCAAGAGACGAGACAUCAACGUUUCUGAUCCAGGCGAAAUCAUGCAACAAUAUUUUAUUGUCAUGGGAUAGCCAUAAUCCAAGUACAUGUCUAAUGUGAAAACAGAGGAAAGAGCUUGAUGCCCUUCCAGCUGUAGAGUUUGUGGCUUCGGUUGGCUAGCUCAGUGAGAAGAAGUUAGCCAGCCGGCAGAGCAACCAAUUUUAUGAUUUAUUUGUAUUAUUAUUUUUAUUAGCCAUAGAAACCAAAUGUUUUUGCAUAGAUGAACGUAUUGUUUUUAUUUAUUUUUAGUUUUCGUCCUCUGAUAGAUGAAAUAGUAUAAAUGUAUUUAUUAAAACGGCAGAACGCAUCACAAGCGUAUGUAAGUUAAGUGAAUGUGCAGCUUUUGUGAUUGGACAGUAAAGAUUCUAUGCGUUGUUCUAAAAUCUCCCAUAGCCCAGGCCUGACGAGGCUCUUAGCCCUGGGCUAAGGUUGGUGUGAAUAUUUGCUUAGGCCUGGGCUAAAAUCUCCCAUAGCCCAGGCCUGACGAGGCUCUUAGCCCUGGGCUAAGGUUGGUGUGAAUAUUUGCUUAGCCCUGGGCUAAAAUCUCCCAUAGCCCAGGCCUGACGAGGCUCUUAGCCCCGAGUUAAGGUGCAGUGUGAAUGCAUCUUUUCUAUGUGAAAGUUGGAACAAGUGUGUGUUCUUUCAAUCACAAAAUCUCCUUUUGUCAUUAAAGAUUUUUUUUUUCUCUCAACUAUCUCAGUCAUUGUUUCUCCUCUUUUUUGCCUUGUUCUGUCUGUUUCUAUAUAUUGUUAUUCUGCCUCCUCACUGAUACAAUAUUUUUUUAAAGUAUUUAAAAAAAGGCUCUUCCUAAGUUUCCUGUACGUUUCUAGCUAUGACAUGACAAGAAGUGUUAUAAGGCAGUAUUAGUAAAGCCACAUUACUACCGGAGGUGUUUUAUAAGGCUUUGUUUAUAACGUGUGUUCAGUACAAAAUAUAAUCCAAC